AGGUCCGCCUGCCCUGUGAUUUUUUUAACGGCCGCGGUAUCCUGACCGUGCGAAGGUAGCGUAAUCAUUUGUCUUUUAAUUGAAGACCUGUAUGAAAGGCAUCACGAGAGUUUAUCUGUCUCUAUUUUCUAAUCAAUGAAAUUGACUUUCUCGUGCAGAGACGAGAAUAACAACAUAGGACGAGAAGACCCUAUGGAGCUUUAAACACCUAAGUUAAUUAUUUUUCCCAUCUCCUCCACGGACAUAAAACAAUAUAAAUAAAUAUAACUUAACCUGUUUUCGGUUGGGGCAACCAAGGAGAAAAA
rnacentral:rRNA from 1 species